rnacentral:rRNA from 1 species
AGAGUUUGAUCAUGGCUCAGAACGAACGCUGGCGGCAUGCCUAACACAUGCAAGUCGAACGAAGGCUUCGGCCUUAGUGGCGCACGGGUGCGUAACGCGUGGGAAUCUGCCCAAAGGUACGGAAUAACUCCUCGAAAGGGGUGCUAAUACCGUAUGAUGUCGCAAGACCAAAGAUUUAUCGCCUUUGGAUGAGCCCGCGUAGGAUUAGGUAGUUGGUGAGGUAAAGGCUCACCAAGCCGACGAUCCUUAGCUGGUCUGAGAGGAUGAUCAGCCACACUGGGACUGAGACACGGCCCAGACUCCUACGGGAGGCAGCAGUGGGGAAUAUUGGACAAUGGGCGAAAGCCUGAUCCAGCAAUGCCGCGUGAGUGAUGAAGGCCUUAGGGUUGUAAAGCUCUUUUACCCGGGAAGAUAAUGACUGUACCGGGAGAAUAAGCCCCGGCUAACUCCGUG